ACGGGGAGCACCACAACGGGUGGAGCUUGCGGUUUAAUCGGACUCAACGCCGGGAAACUCACCAGAUAAGACAGCUGAAUGAUAGUCGGGCUGAAGACUCUACUUGACUAGCUGAGAGGAGGUGCAUGGCCGUCGUCAGUUCGUACUGUGAAGCAUCCUGUUAAGUCAGGCAACGAGCGAGACCCACGCCAACAGUUGCCAGCUCGUCCUCCGGGAUGGUGGGGACACUGUUGGGACCGCCUCUGCUAAAGAGGAGGAAGGAAUGGGCAACGGUAGGUCAGCAUGCCCCGAAUUAUCUGGGCUACACGCGGGCUACAAUGGGUGGGACAAUGGGUAUCGACACCGAAAGGUGAAGGCAAUCUCCUAAACCCAUCCGUAGUUCGGAUUGUGGGCUGCAACUCGCCCACAUGAAGCUGGAAUCUGUAGUAAUCGUGUCUCAAAAUGGCACGGUGAAUAUGUCCCUGCUCCUU
rnacentral:rRNA from 1 species